AAACUUUCAACAACGGAUCUCUUGGUUCUGGCAUCGAUGAAAAACGCAGCGAAAUGCGAUAAGUAAUGUGAAUUGCAGAAUUCAGUGAAUCAUCGAAUCUUUGAACGCACAUUGCGCCCGCCAGUAUUCUGGCGGGCAUGCCUGUCCGAGCGUCAUUU
rnacentral:rRNA from 2 species